UGGAGCAUGUGGUUUAAUUCGAAGCAACGAGAAGAACCUUACCAGGUCUUGACAUCCCAUGACAACACAAGAGAUUGGGCGUUCCCCCUUCGGGGGGACAGGGUGACAGGUGGUGCAUGGUUGUCGUCAGCUCGUGUCGUGAGAUGUUGGGUUAAGUCCCGCAACGAGCGCAACCCUCGCCUAUAGUUGCCAGCACGAAGGUGGGCACUCUAGAGGGACUGCCGGCGACAAAUCGGAGGAAGGUGGGGAUGACGUCAAAUCAUCAUGCCCCUUAUGACCUGGGGUACACACGUGCUACAAUGGGCGGUACAAAGGGCUGCGAACCCGCGAGGGGGAGCGAAUCCCAAAAAGCCGCUCUCAGUUCGGAUUGCAGGCUGCAACUCGCGUGCAUGAAGCCGGAAUCGCUAGUAAUCGCGGAUCAGCAUGCCGCGGUGAAUACGUUCCCGGGCCUUGUACACACCGCCCGUCACACCACGAGAGCUUGCAACACCCGAAGUCGGUGAGGUAACCCUUACGGGAGCCAGCCGCCGAAGGUGGGGCAAGUGAUUGGGGUGAA
rnacentral:rRNA from 1 species